UUUUUUUUUUUUUUUUUUUUUUGCUUUUUUAGGGCCGCACCCAUGGCAUAUGGAGGUUCCCAGGCUAGGGGUCCAAUCGGAGCUGUAGCCACCAGCCUACGCCAGAGCCACAGCAACGUGGGAUCCAAGCCACGUCUGCAAACUACGCCACGGCUCACAGCAAUGCCGGAUCCUUUACCCACUGAGCGAGGUCAGGGAUCGAACCUGUGUCCUCACGGAUACUAGUCAGAUUCGUUUCUGCUGCGCCAUGAUGGGAACUCCCAGGACACGCCUUUUUGGAUGGGCCUACUCUGGAUCCUAACGAAGAUCCCCAGGAAGCAGUCGGAGAAAUGCAUCUGAGCACAGGAGAAAGGUCUACAUGCAAGAGCGAAUCCAGGAGCAGAGCAGGGAUGGCCACCUAAGACCAGAGGUAGGGAGGGAAGAAUGCUGAGGACCAGGCCCUGAGGACAAGGACGAGGCAAAGGAGGCUAGGGACAGGUGGGAAUGACACCUAGACAGUGGAGCGUUGUUGGUGGCCAGGUCAGGCAGAGAGCCAGCGAGAGGGCUGACUGUGCCAAACAGACGGAGAUGAGGGGUGCCAGAACAGCACCUGCCCCCCAAAAAAACAGGCACUUUUGGCAUCUGGAUUAUUUUGAGCUAAAGGCCACGGAGAACCAGCAGAUGCAGGAAGAGCUCUAAAACCAAGACCCGGUUUUCCUUUUGUAAAGGAAAGCUCCAGUUACCAAGGAAAUUCCCUUUGUAAAAGGUCUCUCCCUCUUCCAGACGAGGAGGGCCGACAAGGCAGGACUUCAAUCUGCAUUACCAGCCACUCAGUUUACCGUAUUUUUCUUGGUCACCUUCCCAUAACCUGCCUCCCCUGCCCGGAAGCCCAAGCCCCCUUUUAUUUUAGCCUAAAAUGGUACAUAAGCCCAUGUCCUCUUUUUUUUGUUGUUGUUGUUGUGUUCUUAGGGCUGCACUUGUGGCACAUGGAAGUUUCCAGGCUAGGGGUCGAAUUGGAGCUGUAGCCACCAGCCGACACCACAGCCACAGCAACAUGGGAUCCGAGCCGCAUCUGCAAACUACACCACAAAUCACGGCAACGCCAGAUCCUUAACCCGCGGAUGGAGGCCAGGGAUGGAACCUGAGUCUUCAUGGAUACUAGUCAGGUUCUUAACCUGCUGAGCCACAAGAGGAACUCCUGAGGGUUGUUUGUUAAUAGAGAGAUUCGCUUAAACGCUGAUGGGGAGAAGAAGGACUCUGGAGGCUAUGGGGUGGGGGCUGAAUGGCCACCCUCCGCUGAGCACUCAUGGCAUCUUGGACCACUUCUUCUUACACCACAGCUCACAGCAACGCCAGAUCCUUAGCCCACUGAGCAAGGCCAGGGAUCGAACCUACAACCUCAUGGUUCCUAGUCGGCUUCAUUAACCACCAAGCCACGAUGGGAACUCCUUGGACCACUUUCUCAUUGGCAGAGUGGAAAUAACAGCAUAAGUGGAUAGGGCAGGGAGUCCCCAGAGAAGAAGCAGGUAUGGCUUUUCUGACAUAAGAGAACCCAUUUUGGUCUCAGCCCAUUUUGGUUGUGAUCGGAGCUGGGCUGCAAUGCUGAUCCUUGAACAUGCCCCGAGCCGCAAUGACUUUUAGGGAGCAAAGGCAUGCAGGCGCUGAGCAAAGGCAGUCAAAGCAAAGCCCACUGGCUCCUCCUCGAGGGAUGUAUCUCCGUCUGAUACAGUCCUUGAGCUCCGCAGGAAUCGAGGCCCCUCCAGGGUCGUGGACAGAACAGUGAGACUGACCCUCCUGACUUCAAUCAACUUGGGUUUGGAUGCUAUUGACCUUGGCCCCAGUCCUGGCUGAAUUCUCUGCUCAAGCCCCUUCAUGAAUAUGCAUGUACCCUUAGCCUAAAAUGUUCCCCGUUUUGCUGCUGGCACUGCUUUGGGAAACAUCCCUGAUGUUCUCCUUAGAGACUGCAAGCAAUAAUAAAUUCUUCCUCUUCCCGCUCUCCGGCUUGGCUGGGUCUACUGACUCGACACCCACCAAGAUUUUGGGUAACAAGAAUAGGAACUGCCUUGUGGGGGUUGAUGUGAAGAGCCAACAAGAAAAUGUGCUUACAUGGCUUGGUGCACAGUGAUAGGUUCAUCUUUUUAGGGCAGCACCCAGGGCAUAUGGAGGUUCCCGGGCUAGGGGUUGAAUUGCCUACACCCCAGCCACAGCAACCCCAGAUCUCAGCCGCGUCUGCGACCACCACCACAGCUCACAGCAACGCUGGGUCCUUAACCCACCGAGCGAGGCCAGGGAUCGAACCCACAUCCUCAUGAAUGCUAGUCGGGUUCAUUACCACUGAGCCACGACGGGAACUCCAGACAGGUUUUCAGUAAAUGUCUCUCUUGUUAUCAUCCUCCAACUUCCAAAAGGAGUCAGUCUGGGGAUGCGGGACCCCAAGGCCGAUAAGGUUUCCCAGCUUUGUAGGCAGCCCUGGCCAUCUGGGAGCAUCUUCAAUAAUUACUUUCUUCUGUUCUUCUGUGAAAACCUCAAUAAAUGGUGGGUUUUUUACUUAAAAAAAAAAAAUCAAUAGGAAUGGCAGGAACCUAAGUUAGAUGUACCCCGGAGCUCAGCAGGUGGAUGAAAGGCGGAAUUUUUAUGAGGGUUUUGAUCUUUUUGGGCUCGUUGGAGCAGCGAGUGACCAUUCUCUAACUGGUCUGAGGCCGGUCUUCCAGACACGUGAUUUCUACCAGGAACGGAGACGGGCUGGUCCUUUGCAGUCUGCUUUUAUUGCAAGAGCGGGAAGCAUCUGUGUAGUGGGCUAAACAGUGUCCCCACCACCCCACCCCCAAAUUUCACGUCUACCUGCCAUUUCAGAACGUGACCUUAUCUGGAAAUAAGGUCUUUGCAGAAGUCGAUAAGGUAAGGAUGAAAAUGAGAUCAUCCUGCAGUUCCUGUCGUGGCUCAGCAGGUUGAGAACCCAACUAGUAUCCAUGAGGAUGUGGGUUCGAGCAGGCUGGGGAUCCAGUGUUGCCAUGAGCAGCAGUGUAGGUUGCAGAUGUGUCUCAGAUCUGGGGUUGCUGUGGCUGUGACAUAGGCUGGCAGCUGCAGCUCUGAUAU
rnacentral:lncRNA from 1 species